rfam:Vigna angularis cultivar Jingnong 6 chromosome 4, whole genome shotgun sequence.
GACUGUUUAAUUAAAAAAAAAACAUUGCGAUGGUCCCUACGGAUAUUGACACAAUGUGAUUUCUGUCCAGUGCUCUAAAUAUCAAAGUGAAGAAAUUCAACCAAGCGCGGGUAAAUGGCGGGAGUAACUAUGACUCUCUUAAGGUAGCCAAAUGCCUCGUCAUCUAAUUAGUGACGCACAUGAAUGGAUUGAC